UACGGAGGGUGCAAGCGUUAUCCGGAUUCAUUGGGCGUAAAGGGUGCGUAGGCGGCGCGGUAAGUCGGGUGUGAAAUCUCGGGGCUUAACUCCGAAACUGCAUUCGAUACUGCCGUGCUUGAGGACUGGAGAGGAGACUGGAGUUUACGGUGUAGCGGUGAAAUGCGUAGAUAUCGUAAGGAAGACCAGUGGCGAAGGCGGGUCUCUGGACAGUUCCUGACGCUGAGGCACGAAGGUCAGGGGAGCAAACGGG
rnacentral:rRNA from 1 species